rnacentral:rRNA from 1 species
UACGAAGGGGGCUAGCGUUGUUCGGAAUUACUGGGCGUAAAGCGCGUGUAGUCGGGUCUUUAAGUCAGGGGUGAAAUGCCAAGGCUCAACCUUGGAACUGCCUUUGAUACUGGAGAUCUUGAGUCCGGGAGAGGUGAGUGGAACUGCGAGUGUAGAGGUGAAAUUCGUAGAUAUUCGCAAGAACACCAGUGGCGAAGGCGGCUCACUGGCCCGGUACUGACGCUGAGGUGCGAAAGCGUGGGGAGCAAACAGG